CCUACGGGUGGCAGCAGUGGGGAAUAUUGGACAAUGGGCGGAACCCUGAUCCAGCGACGCCGCGUGAGUGAAGAAGUAUUUCGGUAUGUAAAGCUCUAUCAGCAGGGAGGAAAAUGACGGUACCUGACUAAGAAGCACCGGCUAACUACGUGCCAGCAGCCGCGGUCAUACGUAGGGGGCAAGCUUUAUCCGGAUUUACUGGGUGUAAAGGGAGCUUAGGCGGUGCAGAAAGACUGAUGUGAAAGUUCGGGUCCUAACCCUGGGACUGCAUUGGAAACUGUUGAACUUGAGUACAGGAGAGGUAAGCGGAAUUCCUAGUGUAGCGGUGAAAUGCGUAGAUAUUAGGAGGAACACCAGUGGCGAAGGCAGCUUACUGGACUGUAACUGACGUUGAGGCACGAAAGCGUGGGGAGCAAACAGGAUUAGAUACCCCAGUAGUC
rnacentral:rRNA from 1 species